UACUCUCUCCUCGCUCCCAGCGAGCACGAUGUCAGCGAAACGAGGAAUGUCACACUGAUCCCUCAGUUGGGCGAUGCCUACCUCUCCCAUCAAUGGGGCUUCUUCUACGUGAUCCUCUCCUUCAUAGUCUGAGAAGUCAGUCGUCGGACUGCGGGGCAGAGAAAGAAUGUCGGUCACCGACGGGAGCCUGUCAUUAUCCGUAGAAUCGGUGGUCCUCACCACCGUAGACGAACCCUCAGCCGCCAGAACCGCCAUCGGAACAAUAUCGGAACGAGAGCUAUUCACCAUUGUCAAUAUAUUAAUAGGAAACGAGCAAAGGUCACCGGAAAAGCAAGAGGAGGCGAAGAUCGAACGAUAAACGACAAAGAAUGAAGUAACAAGGAGUAGAAGAUGAAGUAAUCUAAGAACAAGAAGAGCUGUCUCUCUCAGAAUUUCACUUAAGCAAAUAUUGGAAAAGUAAGAACCGGAUUAUACAACUCCUUAUUUAUAGACAAAGCAUAAAUGACUUUCACGAAUCCCAAAGGCCAUCAUUAACUUCCUGACCAACCGCAAAACGGUUCGGGUCUACAGUAACGGCAUCCUUAUGACAGAUACCACGGAACGGCCAUUCAACCGUCAAUUGGCACGACAUCCUUGAAACGGUUCUAACGGUCCUAAAACACUAAAAGCACGCCCAUGCGUCACUAAAUAUUUUACACCUUCCCUAUAUGCGGCAAGCACAAUCGUAUCCUCCCCAAACAUAUGUAAUUGGCUAUGGCCGUCCCUAAAUCAAUAGUGGCUACGGUCAUCUUCAAAGUAAUGCUGGCUAUGGCUGUCUCCGAAAGUAAUAUUGAUUGCACCUAUCUCUGAAGUAACAACGGCCACGGCUAUCUCGUAAGCGAGAACGGUCACGGCCGUCUCCUGAAUACGAAACAGCUACGGCUAGCCCCCCAAGUGAGGACGGUUACGGCCCCCUCCUAAGAGUGAACAUUUAAAACCUUCAACAACAUGCAACCAAGAUCACCAACUUGGCUCCAUUGCGGUUAAGGCCGUUCACAAUUGUAAGGCUACUGCCAUCUCCAGUAUAUAAACGGUUAAGGCCGUUCACAAUUGUAAGGCUACGGCCAUCUCCAAUGAAUAAAUAGCUACGGCCAUCCUCGAUAUGUAUGCACACGAUUCGACUACGGUCAAAGUCACCUGCAUGGCCAAGGCCGUCAGCAUAAAAUGGCUAAGGCCAUCAAUUUCAGCAGAACAAUCUUCGAUACAUAGACGGCUACGGUCGUCCUUGAUCCUGGCCAAAAGUCAUCCGACCUCCCUUUUUGAAUUCCUGGAACUACAGUCGACAAAGUCCACCCAUCGAGCUCAGCCAAGGUCCGACCUCGAUAAGCGGAGGGACUAUCUGUAUGGGUCAAAAUUAGAUUCGUGAUAAUUAGCUUGCCUAAUCGGCUCCCAAGCUUGUUCGGGCUAAUAAAAGGUAUAAUCACUUGCUGACAACUAUAUUCCGAGGUUACUCGACCUAAUUGAAACUACGGCCUAUUCAUUGUUUAAGGACGUCCCUUCGACGCAGCCACGGCCGUCUAUCGCCAGCUGGCGAGAUUCACAGCUAUAAAUAUUAAGAGAAAGAACCCUAAAAAGGGGGACUUCUUCUUCUUCUUCACCUCCACUUCUAAAAGAGGAGGAGGAAACCAUUGUAAGGUUCGGAACCCCUCCAUGGAGAGACAGACCAUGUCGAUCUCAAUCAAUAAAAGAUCUCCCCCUCCCUCUCAUUAAUUGAUAACAUUUUGUCUCUCACAUUUUCCGUCUGGUCUUAUGAUUUAUUACGACAUGCUAUGAUUGGCCC
rnacentral:lncRNA from 1 species